GGCAUCUCGCUGUCUGCGCUGGGCACGGAGCGGCGCGCGCGCGCCCGUCUUUCCCUCGGCGGCCCCCGCGGCUCGGACCCGGGCCGGCAGACAGGCCAUCCAUCAUCCGCCCUCCUCCCGCGGAGCGCCGCAGCCGCCGCGGCCAAUCCGGCGGCAGGUGGGGCCGCACCUGCGCGACAGCCCGCCGCUUCCCUCCGCUCCCUUCGCCGCGCCUCGCGUGCUAGCGGUGCCCUUGUGAGCCACUGCGUUCUCCAAGGCCAGAACGGGACAGUUGACGAUGGUCGUACUUCUCCAUGUUCUGAGACCAGUUUAAACAAAAACAAAAACCAGACAACAACCUUGCAAGGGAAAGAAUUCAGAGUAAAUAAACAGUCUUUUUCUGGGAAGUAAAAUAUUUCCCUAAGAUGGAGAAAUUGAGAUGAGAGCUCAUCCACAAGAUUACCCAUCAAUGAGCACCAAUAGCAACCAAAUCCACUAGAAGACUGGGAGCUUUUAAGUCAAGAAACUUACAUCAGUAUCAUCAUUCCAAGAAGCGGUAUCCAAGCUGUUUUAUCGAAAGUGCGCAUGGGAGGGAUCUCAUCAGAGAGAGAGACAUCUUCGCCACUGCCAUGAAGUUUCAAGUACAGAACUCUUCCUCGUAAUCAAACUAUUUCUAUGAACAAUUCACUCAUCAUUGUGGGAAAGUCUAUUUUUCAUCUUAACACACAAACAGACAAUAACAAAAUUUGUGAUUUGGAUAAUCUGGAUCUGAUGUUCAUGCUCAAAAUGGAGGCAAUUCGUAAUACUGGUCUGAAGCAUUUAGUCAUUCACUGAGCAGAUACGUUAGGAGCAACAGGCAUGGGCUGUGUUUUUCUAGGCACUGUGAACACAGCAGUCAACGAAGUCAAAAACCUGUGCUCUUAAGGGACAUGAAUUGCCAAAUGGAAACACUAAGUUUUUCUAUUUAUGACCUAAAGCUAGUCAAAUAUCUCCAGAAGUAAGGUAGCUGAGUGAAGUGGUUCAUAAUCUUUCCAUGGGAGCCAAAUCCUCGGUGCUGUGACUCUUUUAGAUAAAUGAUAGUAAAAAUGAAUCAAAAGUUAAUUAGCUUGCACCUCAAUAAUCCAGUCUCCAUCACUGAUGGUCAUCGUGGAAUCUGCGUACAGAGGCAGCUGUAUACAGAUGACAGAGACAGCUCUAACACGUGACACAUUUAAGCACACAGAGGCGGAAGGACAUAAAGUUCCUGGUUGAUUUCCCUUUGGUGUUUGUGGGGAAAUAUCAAGGUCAUAAAAAGUCAGUUUCUAAUAAUCCCUCCAGUCCUCCAUUCCAUUCCCUAAUUUGUAUGCAAUGGCAUUUAACAUUUUGACUUUGCUUAAAAUAAAAUGUGUGUUUGUUUUAA
rnacentral:lncRNA from 10 species